GUUUAGCCCAGAUUGAAACGACAUCCUUUUUAUAGGCUUUCCAAACAAGUAAUUCAAUUUCUAGAAGAGAUUGCCACAGUUUACAAAAAAAGUAAACUUCGCAAAGACGCCUAUGAAAAGAUACAGUGGAAAGCUGGAAAUAGC
rnacentral:sRNA from 1 species